AGUGUGCUCAGGGCGCUCCAGGCAGGCAACCUCCAUCUCCAUCUCCUGCCUAGUGCCUGCUCCAGUCCACUCUCCUCCACAGGGGUUAGCCGGGGUCAGACAGGGCUGUCGUUAGCUUAUCUGGGGUCUACAUCGCGCAAGGUGCUAAUGUGACAGCUACUCCUACUCCGGUUCUGGCUCUGGCUUUGGCAAUCGACUUGGCGUUGCCUCAUUAGUCCGACUCUGCAAAUAUUUCAUAAUUCAUUUCCAUUCCGACCGCAGAGUCAUUUAUUUAGGAGCUGGCAUUCGUCACUUGCGGCGGCCACACCGUUCGAUGAUGAUAUAUGACUGUAUGGGGCCUUAUUGAUGAAAUGCGGCUGGAAUGGAAUGCCUACGAAAUUGGAACAUCUAAUAUCUCCCAAGCCAAAACAUAAUUGUGGCAAUUAAGAUUCUUUCUCAUAAUAUCAAUCAGACGAUGAUUUCCUGGCUUAGCGUUUGCCCUUCAACACUUCCAAUGGCAAUUUCAAAAAAGACUUAACUUAAAUUGGAAUCGAAAUGGCAUUCUUCUUUUGCUUGGCUACCGCUGAAACGGGCUAUGAUUUACCACGAAAAGAGAUGCUUUAAUUUAAAGUGCCUGACUUAAUAAACGGUUUCUACGCACUCCUGGUUGCGACUUCGAGUUGCUUCUUCAUCAACUG